GACGAACCGUCCAAACGUUAUUCGGAAUUACUGGGCUUAAAGCGUGCGCAGGCGGCUUUGCAAGACAGAUGUGAAAUCCCCGGGCUUAACCUGGGAACUGCAUUUGUGACUGCAUGGCUAGAGUGCGGCAGAGGGGGAUGGAAUUCCGCGUGUAGCAGUGAAAUGCGUAGAGAUCGGGAGGAACACCCGUGGCGCAGGCGGCCCCGUGGGCCGGGCCUGACGCUGAGACGCGAAAGCGUGGGGAGCGAACGGG
rnacentral:rRNA from 1 species